UUUUUACAUCGAUGUCCCCUCUAGCCCGCUCUAGUGUCCCAGGAAGACAACUCGGCUGUACACAAACCAUGUGUCUCGUUUAGGCGACGCGUGCCGUUUGGCUCCACGCAUCGUUGUCCUGUAGGAGGCCACGCAUUGUAGCUAUUUAUCUGAUGUUCAAAAAAAGUAGCUAUUUAUCUUCUCAGCUGUCCUCCCUCAUCCUCGUCUCUCCCCACCACAUAUUCUUCAGCAUAUCCUCGAUUCCCUUCCUAUCUUCUCUGCCCAGCGGUAGUAGUGCAAGCUUGAUCCAGACCCCUUCUCCUCCUUCGGAUCGAGGCCACACACACCACUGAGCUCCUCCUCCUCCUCCCCCUUCCUCCCCACGCGCUCAACGCCAGGUCAUGCAGGGAGCGCACACGCAGGGGCCUUAGUGGCUAUUGUCGCCGCCACCACACCCGGGCGUUGUCGCGCCACCGCCGCCUCCGCCGCCUCCGCCUCCCUCCUAGUUCGUCGGCCGUUGGUGCCCGCCCUCCUGCGUCUGGCACCGCCACCCCCUCUCUGGCUCACCUCCAUGCGUGAGGGCAACGACGGUAGCGCCCGACGUCCACCAUCCCAGGCCCGUCCCUCGCCGACGGGAGAGUAUUGGUCUGCGGAUUGUAACCUCCUAUUACAGAGGAACUUUUUAUUCCUUGAAUCACUCUUUCCACUUGCUGUAUUAAUUUCUUUGCUCUA